UACGAAGGGGACUAGCGUUGUUCGGAAUCACUGGGCGUAAAGCGCACGUAGGCGGAUUUGUAAGUCAGGGGUGAAAUCCCGGGGCUCAACCUCGGAACUGCCUUUGAUACUGCAAGUCUUGAGUCCGAUAGAGGUGGGUGGAAUUCCUAGUGUAGAGGUGAAAUUCGUAGAUAUUCGGAAGAACACCAGUGGCGAAGGCGGCUCACUGGACCGGUAUUGACGCUGAGGUGCGAAAGCGUGGGGAGCAAACAGG
rnacentral:rRNA from 1 species